AUGGAUGAGGAUGGGCCAGCAUCUUACGUUUCCAUGGGGGGGCUGAAUACAGAGCAAAUCAAGGAAGUAGUACUAGAGCAGAUGAAGGGCGUUAUUGGGAGGAUCUCCAAGCUGCUGCUGCGGUAUCACGGUCGGCGCGUCCGUUCCACGGAUUCGGUCAGCCUGUUGUUCUUGAGGUUCUUGGAGGUUGAGCUUAGCGACCUUUCUGAAUUACUGAGAGAACUUCCAUUGCCGGAUCGGGAUGGUAGUUAUUAUAUCAAGUCCGUUAUCAUGCCUGAUUGGCUGGAAAAGCAGAGUAACCUGGCUACGGAUUUAUGGAAUGAGCUGUAUAAUCACAAGCAAGCUGGUGCGAUUGGCUGCUUUUGUCGUACUACUACCAGGAUCCCCUUCUCAAAUCUAUUCCAACUGAAGAAAUUCUUGCAAGAUGUUCCAUCAAUAGUUGAAUCAAGUUGCAGAUACAACCAUCUUCUGCUUGCCGAUGAUGACGAGAUUACUUCUUCAAGGAUGACUAGUCCGUUGCAGCCUCAUCCCUAUGUGGAAACGGAAGCUGGUAGGAAGCCGCUUGUUGGCGUCCAUGGCGCCCUAGGACAUAAGGUGCUUAGGUGGUUCAUGGACGACCAUAAAUGCGACACUGUUAAAAUCAUCUCCAUGGUUGGACCCGUUGGGGUGGGGAAGACAGCUAUUGCCAUGGAGGUCUACCGCAGACUCCAAAGUAGAGGAAGUGGGAAAGGCAACGUAUUGUGCUGCGCUACGGCUAAGGCGUCCCGGUGGCCUGAUAUGAAGAAGCUUCUACUGCACAUUCUCUCACAGAUUGACGAGCGGGCAGCACUAGCACCAGCGUCCAUUGAUGAGCUGGAGCAGCUUAUUCAGAAAAUCAGUGAAUGCCUUCAAGAUAGGAGGUACCUCAUCGUGAUUGAUGAUAUAUGGAAAAUAUCAGAUUGGGAUAUCAUAAAGAAGGCUUUCCCCCGAAAUAACCAAGGGAGCCGGAUAGUGAUAACUACACGUAUCAGAAACACAGCUUGCUGGUGUUGCUCCUGUUUUUUUGGGCUUGUGCACGAGGUUAAGCCUCUGGGUGAGGUAGAUUCAAAAAUGCUACUUUUCAGAAAAGCUUUUGGCUGCGAGGUUGAACACCCACCAGAAAAUUUCAGGCAAGUUUGCACCGAGAUUUUGAGGAGAUGUGAAGGUAUCCCAUUAUUCAUAGAUGGUAUGGCUGGCUGGUUACAAGAACAACAGCAGGAGAUGCAGCAAAACUCUUAUUAUAAUAUGGAAGAUGUCCCCCAGCUGCUACAGAUAUUUGAACAAGCGUUGUCUCCUACUUAUGAUGAUCUCCCUCACAUUAUGAAGGUAUUGGUGCUUUCCAUGAGUAUGCUUCCUGAAUGUUAUAUGUUUGAGACAGAUACACUCCAAUACAAAUGGGAAUUUGAAGAUUUGAUUGAAGUAAAUCGUCACUAUGUCGGGCAAAUUGAAGAGAUAUAUAUUGAGAUAACGGACAUUCAAUAUCUCGAGGUAAUUGAGAUAUUACUUUACGAGCUCAUCAACAGGAAUAUCAUCACCCCAGUGGCAAAUUGGGAAGGACCUACUCAACGGGAGGAUUGGGUAGAUUUUACACUAACUCAUCGACUGGAGGAGGGUUGUCAGUACAAAGUAAAUUACUUUAUGCUACAGUUCCUUGCCUCCAAAUCGGCUGAUAAAGGAUUUGCUUGUACCAGUGGCUGGCUAACCUCGGUAGAAAGAUUAAACAAACACAACGAGAAGCCACGGCGGAUAGCUCUCCACCGAACAGAUCCGGAUAUUGAAAAUUUUCUGAACACAAGGGAUCUUUCGCACACGCGUUCACUAGCUAUCUCCGGUACAGUCGACGGAGUCGCUCUUGAGAAGUUUAUCCAUCUGAUCAUAUUGGACCUUGAAGGUUGGCAGAGCUUGAAGGAUGAAGACCUAUCGCUCAUAUGCAACAAGGGAAUGUUCUUGCUCAAGUAUUUAAGCCUGAGGAAAACUAGUGUCAGCAGGCUCCCGCCCGAGAUCAGGAAGCUGCUCGUGCUUCAUACAUUGGUUGCAAGCCACACGCAGAUAAGUGAGCUCCCGAUAGAAGUGUGCGAGCUACAAGAAUUGCAUUCACUGGACCUAAGAAGCACAAAAAUAAGGCACCUGCCAGAGUACAUUUGGAAGGUCCCAUCGCUUGAAACUCUGCUUGUUGGUGGGGAUCGAGUUUACUGCGACCAAACAAUAUCAGAGCUACCAGAGGGAACCAGCGAUCGAACUUCCCUAACCACGCUGGAUACUGUUGAUUUAAGCGAAUGCUCUGCAGGUGUCGUAGAGUCUCUCAGCAGAUUAAGGUUACUCAAGGUGCUGUGCAUAAGAUGGUCGUUCCGCCAAUGCACUGAUCCAAGAGUACAGGAAGCUCUAUGCUCAUGCAUACAAAGAUGGGAAUUUCUGCAGUCUCUGACAAUUCACUGUGGACUGGGUUGCCCGAUGGAGUUUCUAGCUUGUCUAACCAAUCCAUUGCCUUGUCGUGACCUUGGGAAAUUCAAGGUGACUGGAGGAAGAUUUGUGAGCCUCCCCCGAUGGUUCCAAGGCCUCGAUCGUCUUACUUCCAUAGAAAUCACGGUUUGCAGGCUAGAGCAGGAAGAUGUGCGGAUCCUCACGUCGAUGCAUCCAUUGAAGUGCCUCGUUCUUGGUUUGCACUUCGUUCCAGAACAAGAGAUUGUGAUUGACAGAGAGGGGUUCCGAUUGCUUAGGAGAUUGUCCGUCUGCUGUCGUGUUCCGUGGCUGACUUUCAGUCAAGAGGCUAUGCCAUUUCUCACAUAUCUUGAACUGAAAAUUGGUGGAGGCCCCGGGAGUGAAGGGAGAAUUCCUUCAGGGCUUGGAAACCUCGGCCGCCUGUGGGAGCUGGCCCUUUAUUACAAUGCGUGGUACACCAACAACACCAACGUCAAAAACAUAGUCGAUGCCGUGAGAAAAGGAGUGGCCGAGCACCACAACACCAUCAACCUCGUCAUCAACGGUAUCGAGGACGAAGAGGAGUAUGUCCAGGAGGCUGGAGAUGGUGUAGCCGUCAUCAACCGCAUCCAAGAGAACAGUGAGAAUCAUCAGGAGGCUGAAGAAGACGUGGUCAGGGCAACCGGAAGCCAGAGUGAGAUCGAAAUUGUUGGCGCCCCAAAGCUGUACGAUGAGAGCACAGCUUCACAGGAUUCUCGAUGGUAUCCUGAAGACGGGCAUUGA
rnacentral:rRNA from 1 species